GGGCUUGUAGCUCAGCCAGGUAGAGCAAUCGGCUCUUAACCGAUAGGUCGAGGGUUCGAAUCCCUCCAAGCCCG
rnacentral:tRNA from 1 species